UGGGAAUAUUGCACAAUGGGCGAAAGCCUGAUGCAGCGACGCCGCGUGAGGGAUGACGGCCUUCGGGUUGUAAACCUCUUUCAGCAGGGAAGAAGCGAAAGUGACGGUACCUGCAGAAGAAGCGCCGGCUAACUACGUGCCAGCAGCCGCGGUAAUACGUAGGGCGCAAGCGUUGUCCGGAAUUAUUGGGCGUAAAGAGCUCGUAGGCGGUUAGUCGCGUCUGCUGUGAAAACUCGAGGCUCAACCUCGGGCUUGCAGUGGGUACGGGCAGACUAGAGUGCGGUAGGGGAGAAUGGAAUUCCUGGUGUAGCGGUGGAAUGCGCAGAUAUCAGGAGGAACACCGAUGGCGAAGGCAGUUCUCUGGGCCGUAACUGACGCUGAGGAGCGAAAGCGUGGGGAGCGAACAGGAUUAGAUACCCUGGUAGUCCACGCCGUAAACGUUGGGCGCUAGAUGUGGGGACCAUUCCACGGUUUCCGUGUCGCAGCUAACGCAUUAAGCGCCCCGCCUGGAGAGUACGGCCGCAAGGCUAAAACUCAAAGGAA
rnacentral:rRNA from 1 species